UUCACAGUGAGUCCUUGGAUGUUA
rnacentral:piRNA from 1 species